GAGCUGGAUUCUGCUGUCACUGUCAAAAUCAAACUGAAGUUGUUUGUCCGCGAAUGUUGGUCUAGUCUGUUCCAGAGUUAUCGAUUAGAUAUUCUUAGUACGUGCGAUUUUAAACUGACAAUUCCAAAAAACUUGAGGUGUUUAUCUCCACUGAACAAAAAGAGCGCAAAACGAGCAUGUGAAAACGGCUGUCAUUCGAACAUAACCUGUUAUUCUCGUUAGUGUUGUUAAACAUUCCAUGUUUUUAUUGUUUAUGUUGACUUCCGUGUUUUUGGCGUGAUAUUGUUUAAAAAUCCGAUCUUAUUCGGGUGAUGUGACUAGUUUUUGUCGUUUGAAGAUCCCCAAAACCAUCCAUCAUAUUCAUUUAGUUAAGUGUCUAGUGGGUUCGUUUCGAUAACGUGUCGUAUUCAAUCAUGUCGGCUCAAUCUAGCGGCGAUAUGAGGCAAGAGAGAUCGAACUCUGUAGGAGCGAGGCUGUCUUUCCGAGGCUUCCACGCCUUGCUCAGAGAUGGCAUCAGUUGGCAGCUCUGCUUCCAUCAAGGAUCUUGUCAAGGAAAUAUCCAUGGUGAAGCAGAUCCGACGUUUGUUUAUAUAUACUGUAGCCUCGACGGAAAUAAAAUCGUGAUUUUGAAUUGA